CGCGGAGGUAGGUCACGACGGUGCGCAUGCGCAAACAGCACAUCCGGUGUGGUCGACGGGUCCUCUAGGAGUUUUGGGCGCGCGGACUGGAGUACCUUGCGUGUAGUUAUGUCGGCGUCGGUAGUGUCUGUCAUUUCGCGGUUCUUAGAAGAGUACUUGAGCUCCACUCCGCAGCGUCUGAAGUUGCUGGACGCGUACCUGCUGUAUAUACUGCUGACCGGGGCGCUGCAAUUCGGUUACUGUCUCCUCGUGGGAACCUUCCCCUUCAACUCUUUUCUCUCGGGCUUCAUCUCUUGUGUGGGGAGUUUCAUCCUAGCGGUUUGCCUGAGAAUACAGAUCAACCCACAGAACAAAGCGGACUUCCAAGGCAUCUCCCCAGAGCGAGCCUUUGCUGAUUUUCUCUUUGCCAGCACCAUCCUGCACCUUGUUGUCAUGAACUUUGUUGGCUGAAUCAUUCCCAUUUACGUAAUUGAGGAGUAGGAGACUAAAAGAAUGUGAAAUAGACUGAAGUCACGCUAACUUUUCUCAGUUCACUCUUUGAAUUUCCUGGAUAAGAGUUCUGGAGCUGGCAGCUUGUUGGACACAUGGAUUUUCUUCAGAUUUGCACUUACUGCUAGCUCUGAUUUUUAUGCAAGAGAAAAGCCCAGAGUUCACUCUGUGUCAGAACAACUUUCUAACAAACAUUUAUUAAUCCAACCUGCCUUUCAUUAAAUGUAACCUUUUGCCUUCCUAAUUAAAGAACUCCAUGCCACUCCUC